rnacentral:rRNA from 1 species
AUGCAACAAGAUGUUGUAUGGAAAAUUUGUGCUCGCAUAUAUCAUCGUCAAACACCAGCUACGCUUAUUAUUGAGUUAGUUGUAGCAAUGUCUCGCUGGCAGUCUGCACCUGCUGAUAUUAUUUGUGAUAUUGGGGAGAGUCUUUUGGAUAGUAAUGGCCACGACAGCUAUGUCGCUUUGAGAUAUGUGUGUUCUAUUUGGAGGUCAGCCAUCUCAUCUUAUCAAAGGCUUUUUGUUCGAGCGCAUCGAUGGAUUGUUCUUGAGGAGAUCAAUGAAUUCAGUGAUUGCACUGUACAUCGGGUAUUGGUUAAUGUUUCAACUGGACGGAUGGUCAAGCGUCGCAUUCCUCUUUUGAAUGACCAUAUUUAUGUUGGAUCUUCGGAUGGACUACUGAUUCUCGUAGAAAAAAUGAACCUUACUUCGUCAAACUAUGGGAGCCAUUCACGGGCUAUCUUGUGCAAUUUGCAGCCGGGAUCAUCCAUCAUCAGCCUUCUCAUUUUGCCGUCGAGACUCGCGGUGUCCCUAGACUGUUUCAUGCCCCUGGAGGUUUACGCAACCCUCGAGUCAUGUGUUAUGAUGUUAAUAAUGGCAAUUUGGAGGUUCGAUUUGGUGAUAUGCCAGUUGAGCGUGUAG